rnacentral:rRNA from 1 species
UGCAGUCUACUUGAACUUCGGUUUGGGUGGCGGACGGGUGAGUAACGCGUAAAGAGCUUGCCUCACAGUUUGGGACAAUAUUUGGAAACGAAUGCUAAUACCGAAUAUUAUGAUCGAAUGGCAUCAUUUGAUUAUGAAAGCUAUAUGCGCUGUGAGAGAGCUUUGCGUCCCAUUAGCUAGUUGGAGAGGUAACGGCUCACCAAGGCGAUGAUGGGUAGCCGGCCUGAGAGGGUGAACGGCCACAAGGGGACUGAGACACGGCCCUUACUCCUACGGGAGGCAGCAGUGGGGAAUAUUGGACAAUGGACCAAAAGUCUGAUCCAGCAAUUCUGUGUGCACGAUGAAGUUUUUCGGAAUGUAAAGUGCUUUCAGUUGGGAAGAAGAAAGUGACGGUACCAACAGAAGAAGUGACGGCUAAAUACGUGCCAGCAGCCGCGGUAAUACGUAUGUCACAAGCGUUAUCCGGAUUUAUUGGGCGUAAAGCGCGUCUAGGCGGUUAAUUAAGUCUGAUGUGAAAAUGCGGAGCUCAACUCCGUAUUGCGUUGGAAACUGGUUAACUAGAGUACUGGAGAGGUAAGCGGAACUACAAGUGUAGAGGUGAAAUUCGUAGAUAUUUGUAGGAAUGCCGAUGGGGAAGCCAGCUUACUGGACAGAUACUGACGCUAAAGCGCGAAAGCGUGGGUAGCAAACAGGAUUAGAUACCCUGGUAGUCCACGCUGUAAACGAUGAUUACUAGGUGUUGGGGGUCGAACCUGGCCCAAGCUAACGCGAUAAGUAAUCCGCCUGGGGGAGUACGUACGCAAGUAUGAAAACUCAAAGGAAUUGACGGGGACCCGCACAAGCGGUGGAGCAUGUGGUUUAAUUCGACGCAACGCGAGGAACCUUUACCAGCGUUUUGACAUCUUAGGAAUGACGUAAGAUAUGUCAGUGUCCCUUUCGGGGAAACCUAAAGACAGGUGGUGCAUGGCUGUCGUCAGCUCGUGUCGUGAGAUGUUGGGUUAAGUCCCGCAACGAGCGCAACCCCUUUCGUAUGUUACCAUCAUUAAGUUGGGGA